AGAGUUUGAUCCUGGCUCAGGAUGAACGCUGGCGGCGUGCCUAAUACAUGCAAGUCGAACGAAACUUCUUUAUCACCGAGUGCUUGCACUCACCGAUAAAGAGUUGAGUGGCGAACGGGUGAGUAACACGUGGGCAACCUGCCCAAAAGAGGGGGAUAACACUUGGAAACAGGUGCUAAUACCGCAUAACCAUAGUUACCGCAUGGUAACUAUGUAAAAGGUGGCUAUGCUACCGCUUUUGGAUGGGCCCGCGGCGCAUUAGCUAGUUGGUGAGGUAAAGGCUUACCAAGGCAAUGAUGCGUAGCCGAACUGAGAGGUUGAUCGGCCACAUUGGGACUGAGACACGGCCCAGACUCCUACGGGAGGCAGCAGUGGGGAAUAUUGCACAAUGGGGGAAACCCUGAUGCAGCGACGCCGCGUGAAGGAAGAAGUAUCUCGGUAUGUAAACUUCUAUCAGCAGGGAAGAAAAUGACGGUACCUGACUAAGAAGCCCCGGCUAACUACGUGCCAGCAGCCGCGGUAAUACGUAGGUGGCAAGCGUUAUCCGGAUUUAUUGGGCGUAAAGGGAACGCAGGCGGUCUUUUAAGUCUGAUGUGAAAGCCUUCGGCUUAACCGGAGUAGUGCAUUGGAAACUGGGAGACUUGAGUGCAGAAGAGGAGAGUGGAACUCCAUGUGUAGCGGUGAAAUGCGUAGAUAUAUGGAAGAACACCAGUGGCGAAAGCGGCUCUCUGGUCUGUAACUGACGCUGAGGUUCGAAAGCGUGGGUAGCAAACAGGAUUAGAUACCCUGGUAGUCCACGCCGUAAACGAUGAAUGCUAAGUGUUGGAGGGUUUCCGCCCUUCAGUGCUGCAGCUAACGCAAUAAGCAUUCCGCCUGGGGAGUACGACCGCAAGGUUGAAACUCAAAGGAAUUGACGGGGGCCCGCACAAGCGGAGGAACAUGUGGUUUAAUUCGAUGAUACGCGAGGAACCUUACCCGGGCUUGAACUGAGGGGGAAUGAGCCAGAGAUGACUCAGUCUUCGGACUCCCUUGGAGGUGCUGCAUGGUUGUCGUCAGCUCGUGCCGUGAGGUGUCGGCUUAAGUGCCAUAACGAGCGCAACCCUCAUCCUCGUUUGCCAUCAGGUAAUGCUGGGCACUCCGGGGAUACUGCCAUCGUAAGAUGUGAGGAAGGUGGGGAUGACGUCA
rnacentral:rRNA from 1 species